rnacentral:rRNA from 1 species
GACGAACGCUGGCGGCGUGCCUAACACAUGCAAGUCGAGCGCGAAUGGAGCAAUCCUAGUAGAGCGGCGCACGGGUGCGUAACACGUGGGUAAUCUGCCUCAAAGCUCGGGAUAACUUUCCGAAAGGUUAGCUAAUACCGGAUAAGCUCACGAAGGUCUUCGGAUCUGGUGAGAAAAUGGUGGCCUCUAUUUAUAAGCUAUCACUUUGAGAUGAGCCCGCGGCCCAUCAGCUAGUUGGCGGUGUAAGAGACCACCAAGGCAACGACGGGUAGCUGGUCUGAGAGGACGAUCAGCCACACUGGAACUGAGACACGGUCCAGACUCCUACGGGAGGCAGCAGUGGGGAAUUUUCCACAAUGGGCGAAAGCCUGAUGGAGCAAUGCCGCGUGUGUGAUGAAGGUCUUCGGAUCGUAAAGCACUUUCGACUGGGACGAAACACCCUUGGCUAACACUCAAGGGCUUGACGGUACCAGGAGAAGAAGCACC